AGUUGCGGCCCACCGAAGCACCGACCACUGUGUUCGGAGCUCUUCGGAAUUCCUUUUCCGCGCCGCUCCACCACGCCGGCCACAGUAGCCGGCUAGCCGCCACCCGCCAGGCUCAGGCAGCCACCAGACUCUCCACCCGGCGCUACUCCGGUCAGCCUGCAGCGCAGGUGUGGCUUGGUGCAGGUUGCAGCCUCAGGUCAUACAUUCGCCAGCCAGGAACUGUUGCUGAGUCCGUAGCAUCUGCUUGUACCCUGGCUGGCAAAUGCUAUAGGUUCAGUAACGCAGGAACGGUUGGGUUCUGCAGGAAGAACAACAUAAAAAGAUGUGGUUCAUCGGGCUCCAACUCUUCCAUAUGAGGGUGUUGACUCUUGACAGUUGAUUCAAAACCCGAUGGAGUUAUGAUGGAUCCAUUGAGAAGGAGCAGGUAUGAUGGCAGAUACAGGUAGCCAGAGCCCUGUUUGUUAUAGUGACAGUGAUAGUUUUUAGCAUGGACUUCUCUCUUCUGAGCAAGCAACUAUCGUGAGUCGUGACGUUGCCACUGUCUCACCAAUGUUCAAUAAUUUCGGCGUGCAGCAACAAACCAAAGUUUAUUCCAUACACGGUCAUCUCAGGCCGUAGCCGUCUGUCAUUAUAUUUAUUGCAGCAAGUUUAUGAUGCAGUGUGCUUUUAUAAUGUCAGCUCAAUGAACAGAAAUGUGGACGCAACCUGAAUGCACUUGCAGUA